GGGUUGUGAGGUUAAGCGACUAAGCGUACACGGUGGAUGCCUUGGCAGUCAGAGGCGAUGAAGGACGUGCUAAUCUGCGAUAAGCGUCGGUAAGGUGAUAUGAACCGUUAUAACCGGCGAUUUCCGAAUGGGGAAACCCAGUGUGUUUCG
rnacentral:rRNA from 2 species